rnacentral:rRNA from 1 species
UACGUAGGGUGCGAGCGUUGUCCGGAAUUAUUGGGCGUAACGAGCUCGUAGGCGGCUUGUCACGUCGGAUGUGAAAGCCCGGGGCUUAACUCCGGGUCUGCAUUCGAUACGGGCUGGCUAGAGUGUGGUAGGGGAGAUCGGAAUUCCUGGUGUAGCGGUGAAAUGCGCAGAUAUCAGGAGGAACACCGGUGGCGAAGGCGGAUCUCUGGGCCAUUACUGACGCUGAGGAGCGAAAGCGUGGGGAGCGAACAGG